UGCUGUCUCUGGCGUGACUGUGCCAUUCGCGUAUCCUAGUACGGCGCAGGCUGCAGUUGAACAAGCGAUAGCUACCGUAUGGAUCGGGUUUUAUGCCAGUCCUAAUGCUGUCCUGGCCAGAACUGUUCUGAAGUCAUCUUGUUGAUCAGGGAAACUUGCAGGUGUGGGGACUGGUUUUGCAGAAGAUUACAAUUGAAAAUUACUGUUCAAGAAGGUUUUGUUUAGGGCCUGAUCCAAAACCUGUUAUAAUUAAUAGAAAGACUUCCACUGACUUCACAGGCCUUCAGGUCAGGCCCUUUAAUCUUUUUUCAUAAUUAUAGUAAUUUUAAUUUCAUAGCAAGGCAUCUCAAGAUGCAAUGGACACAGUGUGAUUUGAUUUACAUUUGAUUUCUAGUAUUCACAGCACACACAUCCAUGUUUUUAAUAUUCAUAGCAGUUCAACUCUAAUUGCUAAGCAAGUGACACCUCACCUAAUCUUUCUUAAAUAAAUAUGUUUAUUCUGUUA